CGAUGAAGUUCCUUCGGGAAUGGAUUAGUGGCGAACGGGUGAGGAACACGUGAGAAACCUGCCUUUCAUUCUGGGAUAACACCGGGAAACCGGUGCUAAUACCGGAUACUCCAUCUUGGCGGCAUCGCCGAGCUGGGAAAAAAUUUUGAUGAAAGAUGGUCUCGCGGCCUAUCAGCUAGUUGGUGAGGUAAAGGCUCACCAAGGCGACGACGGGUAGCCGGCCUGAGAGGGCGACCGGCCACACUGGGACUGAGACACGGCCCAGACUCCUACGGGAGGCAGCAGUAGGGAAUAUUGGGCAAUGGGCGAAAGCCUGACCCAGCGACGCCGCGUGAGGGAUGAAGGUCUUCGGAUUGUAAACCUCUUUCAGUAGGGAAGAAGCGAAAGUGACGGUACCUAAAGAAGAAGCACCGGCUAACUAUGUGCCAGCAGCCGCGGUAAUACAUAGGGUGCAAGCGUUGUCCGGAAUUAUUGGGCGUAAAGAGCUCGUAGGUCGUUUGUCGCGUCGAUUGUGAAAAUCUGAGGCUCAACCUCAGACCUGCAGUCGAUACGGGCAAACUAGAGUGUGGUAGGGGAGACUGGAAUUCCUGGUGUAGCGGUGGAAUGCGCAGAUAUCAGGAGGAACACCAAU
rnacentral:rRNA from 1 species